rnacentral:rRNA from 1 species
GACGAACGCUGGCGGCGUGCUUAACACAUGCAAGUCGAACGGAAAGGCCCUGCUUUUGUGGGGUGCUCGAGUGGCGAACGGGUGAGUAACACGUGAGUAACCUGCCCUUGACUUUGGGAUAACUUCAGGAAACUGGGGCUAAUACCGGAUAGGAGCUCCUGCUGCAUGGUGGGGGUUGGAAAGUUUCGGCGGUUGGGGAUGGACUCGCGGCUUAUCAGCUUGUUGGUUGGGUAGUGGCUUACCAAGGCUUUGACGGGUAGCCGGCCUGAGAGGGUGACCGGCCACAUUGGGACUGAGAUACGGCCCAGACUACUACGGGAGGCAGCAGUGGGGAAUAUUGCACAAUGGGCGGAAGCCUGAUGCAGCAACGCCGCGUGCGGGAUGACGGCCUUCGGGUUGUAAACCGCUUUCGCCUGUGACGAAGCGUGAGUGACGGUAAUGGGUAAAGAAGCACCGGCUAACUACGUG